AGAACGAACGCUGGCGGCAGGCUUAACACAUGCAAGUCGAACGAUGUAGCAAUACAUAGUGGCGCACGGGUGAGUAACACGUGGGAACAUGCCUUUCAGUUCAGGAUAACACCGGGAAACCGGUGCUAAUACUGGAUAUUCCCUCCGGGGGAAAGAUUUAUCGCUGAAAGAUUGGCCCGCGUUAGAUUAGGUAGUUGGUGGGGUAAUGGCCUACCAAGCCUACGAUCUAUAGCUGGUCUGAGAGGACGACCAGCCACACUGGAACUGAGACACGGUCCAGACUCCUACGGGAGGCAGCAGUGGGGAAUAUGGACAAUGGGCGCAAGCCUGAUCCAGCCAUGCCGCGUGAGUGAUGAAGGCCUUAGGGUUGUAAAGCUCUUUUGUCAGGGAAGAUAAUGACGGUACCUGAAGAAUAAGCACCGGCUAACUUCGUGCCAGCAGCCGC
rnacentral:rRNA from 1 species